GCUUAGCCUUAAACUUAGAUAAUAGAUUACCUAAAUUAUCCGCCUGGGGACUACGAGCACUAGCUUAAAACCCAAAGGACUUGGCGGUGCUUAAUAACCCCCUAGAGGAGCCUGUUCUAGAACCGAUAACCCUCGUUAAACCUCACCCUUUCUCGUCUAUUCCGCCUAUAUACCGCCGUCGUCAGCUUACCCUGUGAAGGCCUUUUAGUAAGCAUAAUUAGUACAAACCCAAAACGUCAGGUCGAGGUGUAGCAUACGAAAGGGGAAGAAAUGGGCUACAUUUCCUGAAAUCAGGAUAUACGAAUAAUGUUUUGAAAAAGGCACUAGAAGGAGGAUUUAGAAGUAAGAAGGGAAUAGAGUGCCCUACUGAAAUUGGCCCUUAAGCGCGC
rnacentral:rRNA from 1 species